GCAGGGGUGCCGCAGUGGUCUACCGGGCUAGGUUGAGGUCCUAGUGGCUUAGUGCCUUCAGCGGUUCAAAUCCGCUCCUCUGCA
rnacentral:tRNA from 1 species